CCCAGGGGGUGCGACACUGUAAUCUUUUUCGAAUCUUUUGAAAAGAUUCAAAAAGAUUCGAAAAGAUUCAAAGGUGAUUCGGCGAGAUCAACGAAAAACGAACACCCGUCAGUUAUAUUGAAAUGACUAGACUAUUUCGUUCAGUGUUUGUUUUGGUUUUGACGAACUCCAAUCGGCAGACGAGCGAUAGGUACAGCGUUUCUGGUUACAGCCGAAAGUUAUUAGUUCCUAAAACGGAUGGCAUCCGGAUCUCCAUGCAGCAUCGCCGCCAAAUUCCGGAAUUCACAAUAAAAAAAAUGGAUAAUCGCAAUGCGUCCAUGUCCGAUGAGCCACCGACGGAUGUGCGCCGUGAGGAACCAUUUGCCACCACUAGCCGAGCAGGACACGGAAUAUCCUCGACUUUUGACCACACUCCAAGAAGAGAGGAAUGCCGAAAAGGUGAAGCUGCUGCGUACAGGUACCCUCUAGCAGUGAAAGUUCACUGCUCAGAUUGUUGACCACUCCACAGCUCACACUCGCGGAACGGGAGCAACCUGUAUAAAGUGCGUAUAAUUACGAACAGUUUCGGCGAUGAUCUGUGGUAAUGAUGAAGGAAUAAAUGGAAGCCCUUGCACUGGAUUGGUACGCAUAUUCCUCUGCGACGGCCGGCCACUUUCCCCGGAAGUUUAUGACGACCAGUCUCAGUGGGUUGAGUUCGUGGGACGAUGUCCGAGUGUGGUACGAGAAUCACAAGGUAUGCGGGAGGACUAGUGGUACAAGUACCUGGAGGCUGGAGCAGGAGCGCUAUUACGAACUAAUGAAACGUUCGUCACAAGAAGGUUGCCAUACCACAACGGUUAAUAGGAAUGCGAUUUCUUCUGUCAUGAAGCUUUCGCCCGGUCAUCAAGGAAAAUCUGGUUCUCCGGGAUACUGGAAUAAAAUAAGCAAAAAUAACAUGACUAAAGCUUUUAAAAUAAAAAGAAUUGAAAAUGUGA